GACAGAGGGUGCAAACGUUGUUCGGAAUUACUGGGCGUAAAGCGCGUGUAGGUGGCAAGGCAAGUCGGGUGUGAAAGCCCUGGGCUCAACCCAGGAAGUGCACUCGAUACUGCCUCGCUAGAGUCCCGGAGAGGUUGGUGGAACUCUCGGUGUAGAGGUGAAAUUCGUAGAUAUCGAGAAGAACACCGGUGGCGAAGGCGGCCACUGGACGGUGACUGACACUGAGACGCGAAAGCGUGGGGAGCAAACAGG
rnacentral:rRNA from 1 species